rnacentral:lncRNA from 1 species
UGAGCCCAGGCAGGCCCUGAGAUGAUGGGUCUCCUACCUCAGCCUCCUGAGGACUUUUGAUUCCAGGCUUGUGCCACAGGUCUAGCUGGUGACGGAACUGAAACCUCAGGCUGUAGCUCAGUGAUAGAAUGCUUGCUAACUAUGCAUAAGGCAAGCUGGAUUCUUGCUAUCAUAAAGAAAAAUAUUUAAAAUCUAUAACUUGCUUCCUUCCUAUUUGACAAACUUUGUCCUUUUCAGGGAGGGUUGUGGGGAAGGGUCCUGGAGUCCUAUCCAGAAAAUGCUGUCUUUACCCAUAUCAUGGAGUAUUUCAGAGGUCAGGUCUUACCUACAGUUUUUUUAAUUUUUGAUCAUUUUGAGUUUAAAUUUUUUUCAUAAUAGCUUUUCUUAGUAAUAGCCUUAAACAGAAUAUAAGAUGUCCUUUGGGAUAAAUGCAGGAUUUUCUUUGAAAAGUUUUGGAAUGGUAUUCAAAGUUUAAUUUUGCUCUGAGCACACAAGAGCCAGUUUUCUUUUUAAGCGUAUAAUUACAUGUAUGUGUUUAUUUAGACAUGACUCACACAUGUUUGUGAUUGCUCUCUCCAACAGUCACAGUUUAAUCUAGCUUGCCUCUGCUCUCACCUAAAGAGGAAGAGAUCUGAUCUCUGACCUUAGCGUCUGAAGCACUAGGCCUCUCUUGCUUCUCUUGAAUUCCAUAUCGUCAGUCAUUUUCUUGAGUUUAUCAUGCUGUGUCACCUCUCCUGGGAAGAAUCUUUUAGUCUUUGAAAUUUAAAAAUCGUAGGAAAUAAAAAUGGAGACUAACUCCCUAAAAUCCUAAGUAGUCUGUGUAAGUGCAUACAAUAAGCGAGGUAAAUGACAUACAUGUGUAUUAGGAAUCACCCCCCCCCCCCCACUCCCUUUGGAAGUUCAGAUGGUUGUUACUAAUUCUGUUUAUGCUCCUCAUCUGAAGCCAUUUUUGGAAAACCAUCCUCUUCUUCUUUAGGCCACAGACCUCCCCCAGCCCGCAGUGGACACCGUUGUGUGGCAGACAAUACCAAUCUCUAUGUGUUUGGAGGGUAUAACCCAGACUAUGAUGAAUCGGGAGGGCCGGAUAACGAAGACUACCCUCUCUUCAGGGAGCUUUGGCGGUAUCAUUUUGCAACAGGCGUGUGGCACCAGAUGGGUACAGAUGGCUACAUGCCCCGGGAAUUGGCAUCAAUGUCACGUAAGUACCAGCAGUUUUGAAGUUUUGACUUUGUGAACUAUCUGAAAUGGCAGGUUUGGUGUCACUUGUUCCCUUCUUAAUAACGUACACUGUUGCAACAUGAUGAAGUGUAGUCACGGAACAGGUAUUUCACUGUGGUGAUAAUACAGUGUAAUGACUCUGAAUCGCUGCGUUCCUGGGUUUGAGCCUAACUGUAUAAUUUUGGAUUGCCAGAUGAGUUUUUAACUAUUUACCUGUAAAGUGAGACUAACACCAUCUCAGGUUCAAUAUAAAGUAUUACAUAUAUCCUAGG